rnacentral:pre_miRNA from 1 species
UUUAAGUACAGUUUUGUAUUGUUCUCAAAGUUUGACUGUCCGUCUUAUUUAAAAAUAAUUUUAUGAUUAAUAUUUUAUUGUUAUUAUUAGACGAUAAAACAUAAAAUACAUGUAUGAUUUUUUUAAAAAAAAUUAUAAAUUUUUUAAAUAAGAUGAAUGAUCAAAUUAAUGCUGGACACGGAAACGCAUAACUACACUUAAA